ACGAAGGUGGGUCAGCAAUUUGCAUAUGCAUUAACAACAACACUGUUCAUGGGACCUCCUUUUGAGUUUGCUUAUAAAACAGGAUGACUUUUUACCAGUUAUAGAGAUCUUGACAACUGAUGAAGAGCUGGUGCCAAGUCUACCAACGAAUCCACAAACACCGGAGCAAGUGCGGAUCAACCCUGCCGAGGAGAGCGCAAGCUUAUCGACACCUACGCUUAUUUGGCCAGAAGAACCAGAAAAAACUUUUGAAGAGGGGAAAAAAUCCCGCCUAAAGCUCAACAAAAAAAGGAGACUUUUUAGCGAAUCAGGUACUGAGAACCACACGGCAGAGAGGGCCUUGGGAGAAACGGUGGUGAAACAGAUCACAGCACAAAAACCUAUACAGAUUGAAGAGUGCGGUAAGUCGGCGGAACCCA